UACGUAGGGUGCAAGCGUUGUCCGGAAUUAUUGGGCGUAAAGAGCUCGUAGGCGGUUCGUCGCGUCGGCUGUGAAAUCCCGAGGCUCAACCUCGGGUCUGCAGUCGAUACGGGCGGACUGGAGUUCGGCAGGGGAGACUGGAAUUCCUGGUGUAGCGGUGAAAUGCGCAGAUAUCAGGAGGAACACCCGUGGCGAAGGCGGCUCUCUGGGACGGUACUGACGCUGAGACGCGAAAGCGUGGGGAGCGAACAGG
rnacentral:rRNA from 1 species